rnacentral:SRP_RNA from 15 species
GUUGGGUUGACCCAGAUGGUUGGGUUCGGUAGGCUUAUAGUCUGGCCUGCCCUCUCCAAGCAUGGAGUUGGAUCACGUGGCUUAGUCGAAAGACCUGGGUUGCUUGAUUCCUAAAGUGGGGUGGACUGCGUGAGGCUGGUUUCACAGAGCAACGAACAGCUUCCGCUCUGUGCAGUGGAAGGAUAACGGGUCAGUGCUCAGCGAGUCCAGUUAACGCCCUGAUGGGCUGCUCCAACUAAA